rnacentral:rRNA from 1 species
ACAGUUCGGUCUCUAUCUAUUGUGGGCGUUAGAAAUUUGAAUGGAUCUGACUCUAGUACGAGAGGACCGAGUUGGACCAACCUCUAGUGUAUCUGUUGUUCCGCCAGGAGCAUCGCAGAGUAGCUACGUUGGGAAGAGAUAAGCGCUGAAAGCAUAUAAGCGCGAAACUCACCAUAAGAUGAGAUUUCUUUAAAGGGUCGUGGAAGAUUACCACGUUGAUAGGCUACAGGUGUAAAGGCAGUAAUGUCAAAGCCGAGUAGUACUAAUUACCCAUAGGCUUAUUG